rnacentral:rRNA from 1 species
GAAUUCGCCCUUAGAGUUUGAUCCUGGCUCAGGACGAACGCUGGCGGCGCGCCUAACACAUGCAAGUCGAACGAGCGAGAGAGAGCUUGCUUUCUCGAGCGAGUGGCGAACGGGUGAGUAACGCGUGAGGAACCUGCCUCAAAGAGGGGGACAACAGUUGGAAACGACUGCUAAUACCGCAUAAGCCCACGGCUCGGCAUCGAGCAGAGGGAAAAGGAGCAAUCCGCUUUGAGAUGGCCUCGCGUCCGAUUAGCUAGUUGGUGAGGUAACGGCCCACCAAGGCGACGAUCGGUAGCCGGACUGAGAGGUUGAACGGCCACAUUGGGACUGAGACACGGCCCAGACUCCUACGGGAGGCAGCAGUGGGGAAUAUUGCACAAUGGGGGAAACCCUGAUGCAGCGACGCCGCGUGGAGGAAGAAGGUCUUCGGAUUGUAAACUCCUGUUGUUGAGGAAGAUAAUGACGGUACUCAACAAGGAAGUGACGGCUAACUACGUGCCAGCAGCCGCGGUAAAACGUAGGUCACAAGCGUUGUCCGGAAUUACUGGGUGUAAAGGGAGCGCAGGCGGGAAGACAAGUUGGAAGUGAAAUCCAUGGGCUCAACCCAUGAACUGCUUUCAAAACUGUUUUUCUUGAGUAGUGCAGAGGUAGGCGGAAUUCCCGGUGUAGCGGUGGAAUGCGUAGAUAUCGGGAGGAACACCAGUGGCGAAGGCGGCCUACUGGGCACCAACUGACGCUGAGGCUCGAAAGUGUGGGUAGCAAACCAGGAUUAGAUACCCUGGUAGUCCACACUGUAAACGAUG